rnacentral:misc_RNA from 1 species
UCCGGCUUAUCACCGGCAGUCUCCCUAGAGUGCCCAACUAAAUGAUGGCAACUAGGAACGAGGGUUGCGCUCGUUGCGGGACUUAACCCAACAUCUCACGACACGAGCUGACGACAGCCAUGCAGCACCUGUGUCCAAGUCCCCGAAGGGAAGAAAUCCAUCUCUGGAAGUCGUCUUGGCAUGUCAAGGGCUGGUAAGGUUCUUCGCGUUGCUUCGAAUUAAUCCACAUCAUCCACCGCUUGUGCGGGUCCCCGUCAAUUCCUUCGAGUUUUAAUCUUGCGACCGUACUCCCCAGGCGGAUAACUUAAUGCGUUAGCUGCGCCACCAAAACCCUAUGGGCCCUGACAGCUAGUUAUCAUCGUUUACGGCGUGGACUAC